rnacentral:rRNA from 1 species
AUUGAACGCUAGCGGGAUGCUUUACACAUGCAAGUCGAACGAGUGGCGGACGGGUGAGUAAUAUAUCGGAACGUGCCCAGUAGCGGGGGAUACCUACUCGAAAGAGUGGCUAUUCCCGCAUACUUUUGCAGCGGCCGAUAUCGGAUUAGCUAGUUGGUGGGGUAAAGGCUAACCAAGGCAACGAUCCGUAGCUGGUUUGAGAGGUCGACCAGCCACACUGGGACUGAGACACGGCCCAGACUCCUACGGGAGGCAGCAGUGGGGAAUUUUGGACAAUGGGGGAAACCCUGAUGCAGCCAUCCCGCGUGUAUGAGAAGGCCUUCGGGUUGUAAAGUACUUUUGGCAGAGAAGCGGUAUCUGCAGAAUAAGCACCGGCUAACUACGUGCCAGCAGCCGCGGUAAUUC